ensembl:snRNA U6 U6 spliceosomal RNA
AUACUUGCUUCGGCAGCAUAUAUACUAAAAUUGGAACGAUACAGAGAAGACUAGCAUGGCCUCUGUGUGAGGAUGACAGGGAAAUCUGUGAAGCAUUUCAUAUUUUU